CAUAAAUGCGGAUAACUUAAAAAGGAAUCUGGUAAAAGCCAGGACAGCCCCCGCUACUGUGAGAAGGACGAAACUCAAAGACCACUGGAGCCAUCCGGGAAGGUGAGGAGUAGAAUGAAUUCGAGUCAGGAGACUUGCCAUAUUGCG
rnacentral:ncRNA from 1 species